UAAAUUUUAAACAACUAAUAUAUUUCAAUUAAAGUCCGUCUCUGCUUUGGAACUUUGAGUAUAAAUAUGCUCAAUUUUUGAAGCGAUAACUACUCUACAAACCAUAGAUUACCAACAUUAAAUAUUGACUUUAUUUUUUUGCGGCAAAGAUAUCAAAAGAUGAAGUUUCUUAUUGUUUUUGUAAGUUUUGCGCUUGUGGCUUGCGCGUAUAGUUUGUCCUCACCGUCGACACUUGAGGAAGACAAUCAAACUCUGGAUAUUGACAAUGAAGCAUUUGAUUCAGUUGAUAAUACUCUAUCAAGUCGCGCUGUUUGUACCGCACGUUUAUGUUCUAACAUUUGCGCACGAUUGGGUUUCCGGAGAUACAGAUGCAUGAGUACCCGUGUCUGUCGUUGUUAUCGUUAGAUACCUAGAUAACUUGAUUGUCCCACUGAUUGAUCGACUUAAUUCUGUUCUUGCUAUUUGAAAUCUGAUGGAUUGUAUAUGAAAUCCAAAUAUGUUAAAAAUAUAAUUAUUCGAAGCAUUGCAUAUUA